UAGACUGUGGGAAGAAGCCGGAGUACCCAGAGAGAACCCACGCAUGCACCAGGAGAACAUGCAAACUCCAUGCAGAAAGACCCUCGAACCCAGGACCUUCUUGCUGCAAGGCAACAGUGCUACCUUUCUCUAAUAUUUAGCUUUUCCUACAAGUCUCUUUUUAACAAACAAUGUGCUGCAUUUUUAAAGAGACCAAUUUAAGAUUGGCUUUAGUAACUAUAUAACCUAUUUUUAUGUAAAUGAUGUGAUGGUAAACAGUUUUCAAAAGAAAAAUGAAGCACAAGAGCAGAAAUCUUUUCAGAAAGAUAAUUGUUGGAGGCACAACAACAGUUUGAGACUUUUCCUUCUCUCUUCUGUUUUAAAAUCCUUUCAUACAAAGCAUUUUCUUAAUUGUGCAAAAUUCCUUUCCAUGGGUGCUAAUUACUUUGUUUAUUUUGAAGUGAUUUAUUUAUAUUUUACAUCAGUUGAUUAUUAGUUAGUCGUCAUUUCUUAAUCUGUUUUAUAUCAGUGGAAAAAUACAAAAUAGUUGUUUUGAUGAUGCCUGUUGUUUUCGUCUUGCAGCAAAAGAUCUUUUUUUUACUUAAAGGUAUCAUUAGGGUUCUUUCCUUCCUGAGCUUCUCUACCAUAGGGACAGACUGUAAAUCGUAGCAUUUUAUUAACAGUAAAACCCAAAUAAUGUGCCAAAGAAAGACAGGGAGGCUUCAGUAAAAGGGUAACCAAUGCCACCCAAAUGUUUGAAUUUUGUCACCUUUUAGUAUGACAUUGGCUCAAAUGUGACUAUUUUCUCAUCUUGUGCAAAGGCAGUGCCUUGCAAAAGUAUUGAACGCUUUCACAUUUAGUCAUGUUACAAUCACAACCGCAAUCUCUAUUAGGAUUUUAUGUGAUAGAUUAACACAUAGUACAGCGUAAUUGUGAGGUGAAAGAAAAAUAGUACAUGUCCUCUAAAUCUUCUACAAAUGAAAGUGUAAAUGGAUUGGCAUGCAUUGGCAAGCCCCUUUAAUCUGAUACCUCUAAAUUAAACCCAAUGCAACCAAAUGUAGUUCAGAGAAAAGGAUCAAUGGUAACUCUAGAGAAGCAGCAUAGAUUACCAUAGCUCAGAAGGGAUCUGGUCUGAUCUGACCAGAAUUGAACCUGUUAGAGACGAUUUAUUUGAUGUGUUAGAAUGCCCGACACUUGAAUCUAACUGAGAAUCUGAGGCAAUCCUUAAAUACUGCUGUUUCAAGAUCCUCUCCACCUAUCUGACUAACCUUGAGCUUCUUUGCAAAGAAAAUCUGUAAUAAUCUAAAUCUCUAGAUGUUCAAAGCUGUUACAGAAACGUCACAAAAGGUCUGCAGCCACACUUGCUUUUUUUUGUUUUUGUCUGCUCUGUGGUGUAUUUGUUCACAGUAAUCUAGAUUGCUGUAAAAUAUAACAAACUAUGAUUUGCCUAUUCAGUCUAAGAGUACUCAUACACUAAAUACUAAAAUUUCUAGCUAUUUAAAUUUGACAAAACACAGAAUGAGCAACACAACGUGUUUCUACUUGCUUUUUUGCCACAACAAAAGACAUGCUUGACAUGUUAGUCUUGGUUAAUGGUUGUGUUCCAUCAUCUGGUGACAGCCUGUAAAAAUAAAAUUGUGUGGAAAAAUGCGUUUACAGAUGAAAGAGCUUUUCCAUUUUCUGUCAUUAUCAGUUUUUUUAUCAGUUGCUGUCUCUCCAUGUUGCACUCAGGAAACGGGGAUUUUUAAAUUUGUUUUUAUGUUUAAAUGAAUGGCUUGCUCAGUAAAACGAUCAGUGUUUUGGACAUAUAUGAAAGGUACCAUUUUUACUGGUGCACACUUUUCAUUAUGUUGAAUGUCAUCGUCUGGGAAACCUUUUCCUUAAAUGUCAUUUUUUACCCGUGAUAUUUCUCUUUAUUUUUAUUGAACUCCCUCUUUUGAUAUCUUACAUCUUGCUGUGUGCAUGAGCAGCUGAAAACUACAGACUCAGUUCUAUAAUCGGUGAUAAUUAACAGCAGCGGCUUGUGAGGUUUUUUUCCUUUUUAUUUGUUCCACUUCCUUUAGUUUCUCUGCCUUUGGGGGGUAAGGCGCUAUAAUUUCUAAAUCACUGUGCCAGAAUAAUGCUUUCUCUCUGGAGAGUGUUCCUUUGUGCCAUGUGUUGCAUUUAUUUAUUUAGAUGCAUUUAUGCUGCAGGGAGUGCUUAGGCUGCAAAUUCUUUCCAAUAAUUAUAUUUUGUCAGAUUUGCCCAGUGAAAAUUUUAACAGGCAUAAUUCUGUAAUUGUUCAUUUUCAAUUGCGUUACGGUUCAGUUUCCAUGCACAAAAAAAGAAAAACGUGAAUGCAAAGGGUAAUGACAUAUAUGGUAACUUCUCUAGUUAUAAGGAAGAGAAAGUCAGAAGAAAUGUUGUCUGAGAGUAGUAGCUUGAAGACCUAGCAAACCAGCACCCUCUCCAGGGAUUUAAAAGUGCUCUAUGUCCAAAACUUAAAAGGUACAAAAUGUUUUGGUGUUCCUCUGAACACCCACAUCAGUGCUAAGUGCAAAAAGGAAAUGUCUCUGACAUUAAAAUUGUAAUUUAAAAGGCUGAUAGACAUUUAGAAAGACAUAGGUUUUCCUCCAGUUCUCAGCAGCUCUUAUUCAACAUUCCUAUUUCUCAUAAUAGCUGUGUAAUGAAUAUAUUUUACACAGUGAGUUGGAGAACCUGAAAGUCUCACUCUUCAACAUGUAAUCAGUCCGUGUUUUACUUGUGAGGGUUUAACUACACCAUAAAUAUGUUGUUUUAAAGACGUCCCCAACCAGCAUUUAUUUAUAGGUCAUAAGGGGUGGAAAUAGGCUGAAAAACAGGCCAUAGGUUUGACUGUCUGUGGGUUACACAGUGACCCCAGGUAAACUGGCUACCCAGGUUUGAAAAAGAACAACUGUUGGAAAAAUGUUGGAAAAAAACUCUAGUCAAGACACAGCUAAGACCUACAUAGGUGGUCCAAAUGGUUUUGUCAAUAUAGUUUGUAUGUAUUCAAUCCAGCAAUGUUCUACAUUAGAAGCCCACUGUGAGCCAAGGCUCACCUAGCACCCAUCCAGCCUGAUAUAAUAUGGGACCCAUAUACAUAAGUAAGCUGGGCUGUCCCAUUUUUUACACCACGUAUCUUUGUAAGUCUGUCAACAGUUAGUUUGAUUUUCACAACAACUUGUUUGACCCUAAAACAUCAUGUCAAGCUAAUGCUACACAUGUGGUGGUUGGAAAGAAAAUGAAAACAUUUCUAUACAUUUUAUCCUUCAUCUAGCUCAGACACUAAGAAAAAAAGGAGCUGCUCUUUAUUACCAUAGGUAAAUGUGCAGGAGGAACGUUUAGAGACAGUGGUUAUCGAUUUAAUUAAUAACGCAAUCUACAGAUAACGGGAGACUUUGUACUGACUGAUAACAUAUAAUUAGUAAAAAAAAACAUGUUAAAAGAACAGACCUUCUUGCCCAAGAAACUUUGUUCUUGCAAACAACGUGUGCAGUCUCCUUGAUGGUCUGGUUGAUGAUUUACUGCUGGAGAUAUCAGUUGCAGCCUGGGGAAAGAAAUGCGUUGUGUUGCCCCUCAGCCUUGCAUUGUUCCUUACCCUAACCAAGAUUCCAAUUGUUUCACAAUCCUAAAGCAAAAAGCCUUUUGAACACAUCGACUCCUUUAAGUAGAUAAAGAGAAAUCUACCUUGUUCGCCUAUUUCCUUUCACAAAUGUCACCUGUGUUUCUGCUCACGUCAUCCCUUUUCUUAAGCCAAUAAGAAGCCACACAUCCUCUUGACAUAUUCCCAUUAGAAAGAUAUUUUAAACCAAUAAAAAAAAUAAAAAAAAUUAUUAUUUGAAACAAUAAAUAAUCACACUCUGCUAUUACACACAAUUCAUUGUCAUCUAUAAAGGGUUAUCCUUUUUCCGUAUUAGAGAGGUUUGUUCUUGAAGCUUUUUAUUUGAUAUAAAAACAAUGUAGAGGUCGAUUUAUGUUUCAAUCUUUUAGUGUUUCUUGUAGUGUUUCUGGCUCUAAAAUAUGUUGGAAAAUACAUCACUGUUGCAGACAGAUUAUGAAUUGUUUUAGAUACCGAAUAUUAAUGGUACUUAUCUCUUGAAGCAACCUGCAUAUGUCGCAUAAGUCCUAUGCUCUGCAUUGCAUUCUUCCCUGUUUUCUCCAGCGGAGCUCCUCCCGGUGGAGGAGAAAAAUCCUGUAACAGCCUGUGUCUCUGGACGUGCAACCACUUCUCGCUCACAUGCCUUACUUAAAUUCAUUUCAUCACCCUGCUGCGAAGCAACCCUGAUCAACAUCAGUGUGAGGAGGAACGAAAGCAUGCAGAGAGAAGGAGGGGAGCAGGAGGGAUUUCAUCAGAUGUCCUAGAACAGAUGCAACUGCUAAAGCAUCAGUGAAGGGAUAUAAUUAUUGUCUGAGCAGAUGUAGGAGGAAGACCCUUGUGGAUGAGCAGUUUUUCUUCUUUCCUUGCACGAGGAAUAGGAUUGAAUGUACUGUACAUUUGGUCGUCUUUGUGGUGGAAAGCCUGUUGCAUCUUAGUGGGGUGACUGCUUCAGAGGACAGAGCUUUCACAUGUUCUACUCAUAAGGAUGGCUGCGGCUGGAAGAAUUAUCAUCAGUUUGCUGCUGAUGUUACACUCAACUAGAGCCCAGAAUCUCUUUGAGGACUCCUCUACCUCCUCCAACAUUCUGCUCAGCUCUCAGAGCCUCGUCAGCCUCUUGCUCCUGGCCCUGACUGUCACCUUGUCUGGCACGGUCUACCUUUGGAUCCUCAGAUACGUGUGCAUCGGCUGCGUCCAGCCUGUCGCAGUUGGCCCAGAGUCAGAGGCUCUGGCAGUGAUGGUGUAAAGACAUCAAGUCUUAAUUAGUGUGAGAGCUAACAUGCUUUUAAUUGUACCAGUUAAUUUGAUUUGUUAAUGAGAACAGAGCUAUAGGAAUGCCAAAUAGUGCCGACUUUUGAUGUGGGCAAUGUGGCUCACCACACAGGGAGGGGAUGGGUGGUAUAAGCAUUUAGAGAAACACAGUUUGUAAUUUAUGAAAAAUGUACAUGCCAAAACAGAACAAAAAUAGUGGGGAUCAGGAUUAAUGUGUUGUAUAAGAAGUUGGUGUUGGGGUCUCAGAAGGAGAGGCUUGUCUAGGGCUAUAUUAGUGCAAGUGAUUCCAGGUUAUUCAGAAUAACACAAUAUAUGCCUGUGAUUACAAGCAAAGCUACAUUUAUGCUUAACUAAGCCAAGUAUUUGUUAGGGAAAAUAACAUUUAAUGCAUACAUGUAUUUGUAUUUGUAUUUGGCUCUACGUUCAGUACUUCAAGUUUCCUUUCUUACCUCUCAGUAAAGAAACAUUUAGAUUUUUGUAUACAGGUCCUUCUCAAAAUAUUAGCAUAUUUCAUCCGACCAAUAAAAGAAAAGUGUUUUUAAUACAAAAAACGUCAACCUUCAAAUAAUCAUGUACAG